rnacentral:lncRNA from 1 species
UCCGAGUGGUCCCGGGAGCCGUGGUCCCCGAUCGCCUAAAAUUUUCCGGGCCAUCAAAUACGACCUAAGGAACCAUAGUCGCUGCCCCGCCAUGAUUGUUCCUCAUUUAUUGCGUUUUUCGCCCAAAAAGCUAGAAUUCCGCUCGGUUACCACAUUUUUAUGUGCCCCACGCCUUCCGAGUGGGCCGGGCCGCGGGACUCGGAUCGCCUAAAAAAUUUUCGGGCCAUUAAUUAGGACCUAAGGAACCAUAGUCACCGCCUUGCCAUGAUCGUUCCUCAGUUUUUUGCAUUUUUUUGGCCAAAAAAACUAGAAUUCCACCCGAUUCCCAUAAUUUUGUGUGCUAUCGCCCAUGCCUUCCGAGUGGGUCGGCCCCUCCGGAGCCGGAUCGCCUAAAAAUUUUCCAGACUAUCAAAUACGACCUAAGGAACCAUAGUCACCUCCCCACCAUGAUCGUUCCAAGUCUUUUGCGUUUUUCAGCCAAAAAACUAGAAUUCCGUGCUAUUUCCAUAUUUUCGUGUGCUUUAGCCCACCACGCCUUCCAAGGGGUCCCGGGAACCCCGAACCCUGAUCGCCUAAAAAUUUUCCAGGCCAUCAAAUACAACCUAAGGAACCAUAGUAACCACCCCGCCAUGAUCGUUCCUCAUUUUUUCGUUUUUCGGCCAAACAACUAGAAUUCCGCCCGAUUCCCAUAUUUUUGUG